rnacentral:misc_RNA from 1 species
GAAGUCUGACAACCUGCUCAAUACAAGGUCAGCAGCGGAGACUUUGCAUAUGCAAGGAAUAGAGGUCUUUUCUGUGGGAGUGGGUAGCGAAGUUGUUGAUGACAAAACGGAGCUGUACGCCAUUGCCAGUGAUCCUGACUCCUACUACCAGCAUGACAUUGAGAACUUUAUCCAUCUCUGUAACGUUGUCCCGACACUGGCCCUCAAGUUAGAUCCAAGCAUCGGUACUAUAACACUACCACCUGACUGUGUGACCACCACCACAACGACUGCUGCUCCGAAAAAGAAAGCCCCGGCCGCCACUACCACUAGUGCUGCCACUACCACUGUUUUAACUACCACCACUAGUGCUACCACUACCACUGUUCCAACAACUACCACUAGUGCUGCCACUACCACUGUUCCGACAACUACGACUAUGCUGCCACUACCACUGUUCCAACCACUACCCCUAGUGCUGACACUACAACCACUGCAUCUGCAGGCACCACUACUACAGCUGCAAAUCCACAAAGCCAGCAAUCUGCAGCAACAGACGACUCCUCGUCUUCUACUCCAAUAAUCGCUGUUGGGGCUGCAGCCUCUCUUCUCCUUUUGUCUUCAAUCCCUGGUGGAUACUUCAUGUACAAAGCAGCGCUUAGGAGAAAAAUUCGACAAGAAGAGAAGGAAGAAGAAGUCCAAGACGCCAUUCAACCAUAUGAAAAUUCGGCACCAAAGCAUUUAGGCCCGGGAAAACCCGCUUGGCAAGCGUAGAAAUUCUUAUUUACAUGAAUAUUUGUAAUUAAAAGAACUUGGUGCUAUCUAAAGAGCAAAUUCUUUAUUUUAGAAAAUGUAAAUAAAAUAUAAAUUGGUUUAAAUUUAUAUAAACCUAUAGUAGUGCUGUCUGAAUAUUAACAAGCUAAAGCUGUUUACCUACAUACAUUGUACACUCAGUAACAAACAAUAUAUAUAAGAAAUGUACCUUCAUUAAUUGAAACGUAAAGGAAAUCAUAUUUUGUUUAACGGUGAAUUGCACUAUUAUAAUAAACUAAGUUUUGUGUUGUUGAUAUAAUACGUGUAAAUGUUAAACACAUGUACACACUGUGAAUAGUUCUAAGGGGACCACAUCACUCAUUUUUUUUUCAGAAAUGGAAUAAAACUCUGCAUACAGUGAUAAACAGUAUUACAUACUUCUAAGACUUGUUAGAUUUUUUUCUUUGUUGGCUUUUUCUGUUUGUAAAUAAACUUGUAAA